UACGUAGGGUGCGAGCGUUGUCCGGAAUUAUUGGGCGUAAAGGGCUCGUAGGCGGUUUGUCGCGUCGGGAGUGAAAACUCAGGGCUUAACCCUGAGCCUGCUUCCGAUACGGGCAGACUAGAGGUAUGCAGGGGAGAACGGAAUUCCUGGUGUAGCGGUGAAAUGCGCAGAUAUCAGGAGGAACACCGGGGGCGAAGGCGGUUCUCGGGGAAUUACCUGACGCUGAGGAGCGAAAGGGUGGGAGCGAACAGG
rnacentral:rRNA from 1 species